CUAAACCAUGCACCGAAGCUGCGGCAGCGACACUAUGUGUUGUUGGGUAGGGGAGCGUUCUGUAAGCCUGUGAAGGUGUGUCGUGAGGCAUGCUGGAGGUAUCAGAAGUGCGAAUGCUGACAUAAGUAACGAUAAAGCGGGUGAAAAGCCCGCUCGCCGGAAGACCAAGGGUUCCUGUCCAACGUUAAUCGGGGCAGGGUGAGUCGACCCCUAAGGCGAGGCCGAAAGGCGUAGUCGAUGGGAAACGGGUUAAUAUUCCCGUACUUGGUGUUACUGCGAAGGGGGGACGGAGAAGGCUAUGUUGGCCGGGCGACGGUUGUCCCGGUUUAAGCGUGUAGGUGUGUGUUCCAGGUAAAUCCGGUUCACUUUAACACUGAGGCGUGACGACGAGGCACUACGGUGCUGAAGCAACAAAUGCCCUGCUUCCAGGAAAAGCCUCUAAGCAUCAGGUAACAUCAAAUCGUACCCCAAACCGACACAGGUGGUCAGGUAGAGAAUACCAAGGCGCUUGAGAGAACUCGGGUGAAGGAACUAGGCAAAAUGGUGCCGUAACUUCGGGAGAAGGCACGCUGACACGUAGGUGAAGUGAUUUACUCAUGGAGCUGAAGUCAGUCGAAGAUACCAGCUGGCUGCAACUGUUUAUUAAAAACACAGCACUGUGCAAACACGAAAGUGGACGUAUACGGUGUGACGCCUGCCCGGUGCCGGAAGGUUAAUUGAUGGGGUCAGCGCAAGCGAAGCUCCUGAUCGAAGCCCCGGUAAACGGCGGCCGUAACUAUAACGGUCCUAAGGUAGCGAAAUUCCUUGUCGGGUAAGUUCCGACCUGCACGAAUGGCGUAAUGAUGGCCAGGCUGUCUCCACCCGAGACUCAGUGAAAUUGAACUCGCUGUGAAGAUGCAGUGUACCCGCGGCAAGACGGAAAGACCCCGUGAACCUUUACUAUAGCUUGACACUGAACAUUGAGCCUUGAUGUGUAG
rnacentral:rRNA from 1 species